rnacentral:misc_RNA from 1 species
GAUGAAGAACGCAGCGAAAUGCGAUACGUAAUGUGAAUUGCAGAAUUCAGUGAAUCAUCGAAUCUUUGAACGCAUAUUGCGCUCUCUGGUAUUCCGGAGAGCAUGCUUGUUUGAGUAUCAGUAAACACCUCAACUUCCAUAUCUUUUUUUGAAAUGGGAGUUGGACUUGAGUGAUCCCAACGCUUUUCCUCACCGAAAAGUGGCGGGUUACUUGAAAUGCAGUGGCAGCUGGACUUUUCUCUGAGCUAUAAGCAUAUCUAUUUAGUCUGCCUAAAAAACAGAUUAUUACCUUUGCUGCAGCUAACAUAAAGGAGAUUAGUUCUUGUGCUGACUGAUGCAGGAUUCACAAAGACAGCUUCGGCCGACUUUGUAAACUCGAUCUCAAAUCAAGUAAGACUACCCGCUGAACUUAAGCAUAUCAAUAAGCGGAGGA